AAGCUGCGUCCCCAUCCUGGAGUCCUGAGAAACCGUUUCCCCGGAGGGAGAAGGGGUAGCAACCCGGGAGGGAACUACGGAUCCGGGCCCAGGAAGGGGGCGAGGGCAGGAUUUGGGGUGCGCACUGCCUGCCUCCUAGGAGGAGACCUUUACCAAGAAGCAGCUCCUCGUUCCGCUACCCAGCCAGGCUUCCGGUCAGCGGUGGGUUUCCCGUCUCUUGGUGAACUUGAAUAGCGGCAGAAGCAAAAAAGAAACAUGUAUUUUGUUUGGAAAAUUCGCUGAGGUAGAGCUUUGCAUCUUCCUAGGUGUGGAUGGAGACUCACGACUGGAGGCUAAUUGCUUUGUUGUUGUUGUUGUUGUUGUUUAAUACUCAGAAGCGCCAGUGGCUGGGUCUCUUGCUCCAGGUAACCUCUCUGGAUGACUGCUUUCCUGAGCAUCUGUGUCCUGGUCACUACCUGCCCAGCGUUACCUGGCCCGUGGGGAGAUGGGCACCUCGGUGGGGUGGAGGUGGGAGAAUUGUUGUUCUUUCUCAUGAGCGGUGGGGAGACUGGAUGUAAGGAUUCCAGCCUCACAGGCCCUGCCCUGGACCACAGCUGCUGCCCACACUGGCUUAGUCCUCAGCUGGUCCUGGGAUGGACACAUGCAAAACUCCACUGUACUUUUCUGAUAACAGUGAACGCCAUCACCUCUCUUAUUCCGGAACAGCAUGCUUCAGUUUACAGAGGCACUUGGGCUCUGCCACGUUGGGAUCCCAUCUCUGGCAUCAGGAGAUGGGGGCCUCUCCUUUUCUCCUCUUCAUUGCCGACGUUAGCAGGCACAGGAAAUGAGGGCUUGUGGGGAGUUAAAGAGAGGAGGCAAAAAGCUGGCUGGCCUUAUCCUAUCAGCAUCGGCCCCCCACCCUAUGGUGCUUGACCUUCAGAAGCCCCUUGGAGAAGGUGCCUCAGUGACAACUGGAGACCAGGGGUUUCCAUGAUGGUCGAGGAAGAGCAGCUGCUUUGUCCAGGACAAGAUGGUUGCAUGUUGUCUCUAUUGGAGAAGGUUGACAAGGGCUUGCUGCUUUCCUGAGGACGUUCACAGCUUCUCCCAGGCUCCGCAAGACCGUUUCUCACUCUCUCCCUUCUGGCUUGGGCGACUUCGCUUCUACACUUUUUUACUAUAGGACUUGAAAGAUAUGAGCUGUCUGUUCCAGUUAUUAUAGUAAGGCCUUUCCACUUUCUAUCAUUUGGAAAUUGUACUUGAGUAUUUUGGGGUACAAGUUCUUUUAAAUAUAUCAGAAGGAGUAACUGGUUCUUCAUCAGCAGAACAGAAAGCCUCAGGUGGUCUAUGGGAGCAGCCUGGGGAGAAGGAGUUGGCAUCCUCAUUUUUAGAUUCCUCAGAAAAGAGGUCACUGGCAACACAGGGCAGGGGCCAAAUCCCACAGCCCCUCAUGGCCUCCUACCCUGGCAGGCCCCCGUGUGCCCUCUUUGGACACUGUUCUCGUGUUUACCUCCGAAGCCCGCAGCCAAGGCUCUGUCUCUGUCCUCAGGUCACAGGGUCCCUGUCUGGACUGCCAUGAAGAUUGUGAUGGUGAAGCUAGAGGAAGGGGUACCAAUAGACAAGAUGGAAUUUAACAAAGGAUUGUGAAUACUGAAUCUCUGUAUAAUUUUCCUUUUCUUAGUUGCUAGGGUAUUAGAAUAGCUAGAGGUAAAGAACUGAAAUGGUGAAACUG